GAUGAACGCUGGCGGCGUGCCUAAUACAUGCAAGUCGAACGAAACUUCUUUAUCACCGAGUGCUUGCACUCACCGAUAAAGAGUUGAGUGGCGAACGGGUGAGUAACACGUGGGCAACCUGCCCAAAAGAGGGGGAUAACACUUGGAAACAGGUGCUAAUACCGCAUAACCAUAGUUACCGCAUGGUAACUAUGUAAAAGGUGGCUAUACUACCGCUUUUGGAUGGGCCCGCGGCGCAUUAGCUAGUUGGUAGGGUAAAGGCUUACCAAGGCAAUGAUGCGUAGCCGAAUUGAGAGGUUGAUCGGCCACAUUGGGACUGAGACACGACCCAAACUCCUACGGGAGGCAGCAGUAGGGAAUCUUCCACAAUGGGCGAAAGCCUGAUGGAGCAACGCCGCGUGGGUGAAGAAGGUCUUCGGAUCGUAAAACCCUGUUGUUAGAGAAGAAAGUGCGUGAGAGUAACUGUUCACGUUUCGACGGUAUCUAACCAGAAAGCCACGGCUAACUACGUG
rnacentral:rRNA from 1 species